UACGAAGGGUGCAAGCGUUACUCGGAAUUACUGGGCGUAAAGCGUGCGUAGGUGGUCUGUUAAGUCUGAUGUGAAAGCCCUGGGCUCAACCUGGGAAUUGCAUUGGAUACUGGCAGGCUAGAGCGCGGUAGAGGGUAGUGGAAUUCCCGGUGUAGCAGUGAAAUGCGUAGAGAUCGGGAGGAACACCAGUGGCGAAGGCGACUACCUGGACCAGCACUGACGCUGAGGCACGAAAGCGUGGGGAGCAAACAGG
rnacentral:rRNA from 1 species